CUGCUCCUCCCCAUUCGACAGACAGCUGCAUCUCUUGUGAGUGCCAGCUGCAUCUCUGAGACACAAUGGUGAAGGUUGGAGUGAACGGAUUUGGCCGUAUCUGGUGCCUCGUCACCAGGGCUGCUUUUCACUCUGGCAAAGUGGACAUUGUUGCCAUCAACAACCCCUUCAUUGACCUCAACUACAUGGUCUACAUGUUCCAGUAUGAUUCCACCCAUGGCAAGUUCCAUGGCACCGUCAAGGCUGAGAAUGGGAAGCUUGUCAUCAAUGGAAAGUCCAUUACCAUCUUCCAGGAGCGAGAUCCCGCCAACAUCAAAUGUGACACUGGUGCUGAGUACGUUAUGAAUUCCACUGGUGUCUUCACUACCAUGGAGAAGGCUGGGGCUCACUUGAAGGGUGGAGCCAAGAGGAUCAUCAUCUCUGCCCCUUCUGCUAAUGCCCCCAUGUUUGUGAUGGGCAUCGUGGAGGGACUUAUGACCCCAGUCCAUGCCAUCACUGCCACCCAGAAGACUGUGGACGGCCCCUCUGGGAAGCUGUAGCGUGAUGGCCGAGGCACUGCCCAGAACAUCAUCCCUGCUUCUACUGGUGCCACCAAGGCUGUGGGCAAGGUCAUCCCAGAGCUGAAUGGGAAGCUCACUGGCAUGGCCUUCUGUGUCCCCACCCCCAAUGUGUCUGUUGUGGAUCUGACCUGCCACCUGGAGAAACCUGCCAAAUAUGACGACAUCAAGAAGGCAGUGAAGCAGGCAUCGGAGGGCCCCCUCAAGGGCAUCCUGGGCUACACUGAGGACCAGGUUGUCUUCUGCGACUUCAGUAGUGACACUCUUCCACUUUCCAUGCUGGGGCUGGCAUUGUCCUCAACAACCACUUUGUCAAGCUCAUUUCCUGGUACGACAACGAAUUUGGCUACAGCAACAGGGUAGUGGACCUCAUGGUCCACAUGGCCUCCAAGGAGUAAGAGCCCCUGGACCACCAGCCCCAGCAAGAGCACAAGAGGAAGAGAGAGGCCCUCAGCUGCUGGGGAGUCCUGGCCCCAACUCGAUCCCCCAACACACUGAGAAUCUGACCUCCACACAGUUUCCACCCCAGACCCCCUGAAAAAGGGGAGGGGCUUGGGGAGCCCUGUCUUGUCACGUACCAU